GUUAAGCGACUAAGCGUACACGGUGGAUGCCCUGGCAGUCAGAGGCGAUGAAGGACGUGCUAAUCUGCGAUAAGCGUCGGUGAGGUGAUAUGAACCGUUAUAACCGGCGAUUUCCGAAUGGGGAAACCCAGUGUGUUUCGACACACUAUCAUUAACUGAAUCCAUAGGUUAAUGAGGCGAACCGGGGGAACUGAAACAUCUAAGUACCCCGAGGAAAAGAAAUCAACCGAGAUUCCCCCAGUAGCGGCGAGCGAACGGGGAGGAGCCCAGAGCCUGAAUCAGUGUGUGUGUUAGUGGAAGCGUCUGGAAAGGCGUGCGAUACAGGGUGACAGCCCCGUACACAAAAAUGCACAUAUUGUGAGCUCGAUGAGUAGGGCGGGACACGUGGUAUCCUGUCUGAAUAUGGGGGGACCAUCCUCCAAGGCUAAAUACUCCUGACUGACCGAUAGUGAACCAGUACCGUGAGGGAAAGGCGAAAAGAACCCCGGCGAGGGGAGUGAAAAAGAACCUGAAACCGUGUACGUACAAGCAGUGGGAGCCUCUUAAUGGGGUGACUGCGUACCUUUUGUAUAAUGGGUCAGCGACUUAUAUUCUGUAGCAAGGUUAACCGAAUAGGGGAGCCGAAGGGAAACCGAGUCUUAACUGGGCGUUAAGUUGCAGGGUAUAGACCCGAAACCCGGUGAUCUAGCCAUGGGCAGGUUGAAGGUUGGGUAACACUAACUGGAGGACCGAACCGACUAAUGUUGAAAAAUUAGCGGAUGACUUGUGGCUGGGGGUGAAAGGCCAAUCAAACCGGGAGAUAGCUGGUUCUCCCCGAAAGCUAUUUAGGUAGCGCCUCGUGAAUUCAUCUCCGGGGGUAGAGCACUGUUUCGGCAAGGGGGUCAUCCCGACUUACCAACCCGAUGCAAACUGCGAAUACCGGAGAAUGUUAUCACGGGAGACACACGGCGGGUGCUAACGUCCGUCGUGAAGAGGGAAACAACCCAGACCGCCAGCUAAGGUCCCAAAGUCAUGGUUAAGUGGGAAACGAUGUGGGAAGGCCCAGACAGCCAGGAUGUUGGCUUAGAAGCAGCCAUCAUUUAAAGAAAGCGUAAUAGCUCACUGGUCGAGUCGGCCUGCGCGGAAGAUGUAACGGGGCUAAACCAUGCACCGAAGCUGCGGCAGCGACACUAUGUGUUGUUGGGUAGGGGAGCGUUCUGUAAGCCUGUGAAGGUGGCCUGUGAGGGUUGCUGGAGGUAUCAGAAGUGCGAAUGCUGACAUAAGUAACGAUAAAGCGGGUGAAAAGCCCGCUCGCCGGAAGACCAAGGGUUCCUGUCCAACGUUAAUCGGGGCAGGGUGAGUCGACCCCUAAGGCGAGGCCGAAAGGCGUAGUCGAUGGGAAACAGGUUAAUAUUCCUGUACUUGGUGUUACUGCGAAGGGGGGACGGAGAAGGCUAUGUUGGCCGGGCGACGGUUGUCCCGGUUUAAGCGUGUAGGCUGGUUUUCCAGGCAAAUCCGGAAAACCAAGGCUGAGGCGUGAUGACGAGGCACUACGGUGCUGAAGCGACAAAUGCCCUGCUUCCAGGAAAAGCCUCUAAGCAUCAGGUAACAUCAAAUCGUACCCCAAACCGACACAGGUGGUCAGGUAGAGAAUACCAAGGCGCUUGAGAGAACUCGGGUGAAGGAACUAGGCAAAAUGGUGCCGUAACUUCGGGAGAAGGCACGCUGAUAUGUAGGUGAAGCGACUUGCUCGUGGAGCUGAAAUCAGUCGAAGAUACCAGCUGGCUGCAACUGUUUAUUAAAAACACAGCACUGUGCAAACACGAAAGUGGACGUAUACGGUGUGACGCCUGCCCGGUGCCGGAAGGUUAAUUGAUGGGGUUAGCGGCAACGCGAAGCUCUUGAUCGAAGCCCCGGUAAACGGCGGCCGUAACUAUAACGGUCCUAAGGUAGCGAAAUUCCUUGUCGGGUAAGUUCCGACCUGCACGAAUGGCGUAAUGAUGGCCAGGCUGUCUCCACCCGAGACUCAGUGAAAUUGAACUCGCUGUGAAGAUGCAGUGUACCCGCGGCAAGACGGAAAGACCCCGUGAACCUUUACUAUAGCUUGACACUGAACAUUGAGCCUUGAUGUGUAGGAUAGGUGGGAGGCUUUGAAGUGUGGACGCCAGUCUGCAUGGAGCCGACCUUGAAAUACCACCCUUUAAUGUUUGAUGUUCUAACGUUGGCCCGUAAUCCGGGUUGCGGACAGUGUCUGGUGGGUAGUUUGACUGGGGCGGUCUCCUCCUAAAGAGUAACGGAGGAGCACGAAGGUUGGCUAAUCCUGGUCGGACAUCAGGAGGUUAGUGCAAUGGCAUAAGCCAGCUUGACUGCGAGCGUGACGGCGCGAGCAGGUGCGAAAGCAGGUCAUAGUGAUCCGGUGGUUCUGAAUGGAAGGGCCAUCGCUCAACGGAUAAAAGGUACUCCGGGGAUAACAGGCUGAUACCGCCCAAGAGUUCAUAUCGACGGCGGUGUUUGGCACCUCGAUGUCGGCUCAUCACAUCCUGGGGCUGAAGUAGGUCCCAAGGGUAUGGCUGUUCGCCAUUUAAAGUGGUACGCGAGCUGGGUUUAGAACGUCGUGAGACAGUUCGGUCCCUAUCUGCCGUGGGCGCUGGAGAACUGAGGGGGGCUGCUCCUAGUACGAGAGGACCGGAGUGGACGCAUCACUGGUGUUCGGGUUGUCAUGCCAAUGGCACUGCCCGGUAGCUAAAUGCGGAAGAGAUAAGUGCUGAAAGCAUCUAAGCACGAAACUUGCCCCGAGAUGAGUUCUCCCUGACUCCUUGAGAGUCCUGAAGGAACGUUGAAGACGACGACGUUGAUAGGCCGGGUGUGUAAGCGCAGCGAUGCGUUGAGCUAACCGGUACUAAUGAACCGUGAGGCUUAACCUUACAACGCCGAAG
rnacentral:rRNA from 1 species